rnacentral:rRNA from 1 species
CCCUUUGUGUACCUACCUCUGUUGCUUUGGCGGGCCGCGGUCCUCCGCGGCCGCCCCCCUCCCCGGGGGGGUGGCCAGCGCCCGCCAGAGGACCAUCAAACUCCAGUCAGUAAACGAUGCAGUCUGAAAAACAUUUAAUAAACUAAAACUUUCAACAACGGAUCUCUUGGUUCUGGCAUCGAUGAAGAACGCAGCGAAAUGCGAUAAGUAAUGUGAAUUGCAGAAUUCAGUGAAUCAUCGAAUCUUUGAACGCACAUUGCGCCCUUUGGUAUUCCGAAGGGCAUGCCUGUUCGAGCGUCAUUACAACCCUCAAGCUCUGCUUGGUAUUGGGCACCGUCCUUUGCGGGCGCGCCUCAAAGACCUCGGCGGUGGCGUCUUGCCUCAAGCGUAGUAGAACAUACAUCUCGCUUCGGAGCGCAGGGCGUCGCCCGCCGGACGAACCUUCUGAACUUUUCUCAAGGUUGACCUCGGAUCAGGUAGGGAUACCCGCUGAACUUAAGCAUAUC